rnacentral:rRNA from 1 species
AGCUCCAAUAGCGUAUAUUAAAGUUGCUGCAGUUAAAAAGCUCGUAGUUGAAUUUCUGGGCGGGCGCAGCGGUCGUGUGGUCGCAAGGCUGCAGUGUUACUUGUUCUGCGUGUUCCGUUCUGUUACUUUUUGCAGGGUGCAUGAGUGUGCGGGUCUUAGUUGGCUCGUGUCUUGUGUGACUUACUCCCUGCAUCGAUUACUGUGAACAAAUUAGAGUGUUCAAAGCGGGCGGUUUGCUGCUUGAAUACAUUAGCAUGGAAUAAUGACAUAGGACUUUGGUGCUAUUUCGUUGGUUGUGUACCAAGGUAAUGAUUAAAAGGGAUAGUUGGGGGUAUUCAUAUUUGAUUGUCAGAGGUGAAAUUCUUGGAUUUAUUAAAGAUGAACAAGUGCGAAAGCAUUU